rnacentral:rRNA from 1 species
UACGGAGGGGGCGAGCGUUAUUCGGAAUUAUUGGGCGUAAAGGGCGCGUAGGCGGCUUGACAAGUCAAAGGUGAAAUCCCUCGGCUCAACUGAGGAACUGCCUUUGAUACAGCACGUCUUGAGUCCGGAAGAGGUGGGUGGAAUUCCUAGUGUAGAGGAGAAAUUCGUAGAUAUUAGGAAGAACACCGGUGGCGAAGGCGGCCCACUGGUCCGGUACUGACGCUGAGGUGCGAAAGCGUGGGGAGCAAACAGG